rnacentral:lncRNA from 1 species
AUUAGAAUUGGGUAUUAAGAAGGUUUUGAUAAAAUGAAAAAGAAGUAGGGUUGGGUAUGGUAAGGAAAAAAAGAGAUAAACAAAAAGAAAGAAAAAUGAUAUAGAAAAAGAAUGAAUAAAAGAAAUUUCACCCAACCUUAAUAAGCAAUAAAAAGAAAAUGGAAGAAAUAAUGGGAAAACAAAUGAAAAUUUAGUUGAGAAGUAAGCCCCAAAAUGUAAUAGUAGUUUCAAGUAGGGUUAGUCUCUAAUAUCCUAAAUGUACCAUAUCAUCCC